rnacentral:rRNA from 1 species
UACGUAGGGGGCAAGCGUUGUCCGGAUUUAUUGGGCGUAAAGAGCUCGUAGGCGGUUCGACAAGUCGGGUGUGAAAACUCCGGGCUCAACCCGGAGACGCCACCCGAUACUGUCGUGACUGGAGUCCGGUAGGGGAGUGGGGAAUUCCUGGUGUAGCGGUGAAAUGCGCAGAUAUCAGGAGGAACACCGGUGGCGAAGGCGCCACUCUGGGCCGGUACUGACGCUGAGGAGCGAAAGCGUGGGUAGCAAACAGG